rnacentral:piRNA from 1 species
ACCAACCAAAGAACAUACAGAGGCUGAGCA